UUUUAGCCCGGAUAGAAGCGGCAUCCUUUUCUGCUGAAACAAAUUUUCAACUUGGUACAAACCUUCGAAAGCAGAAAAGAUACAGCGGAUAGCCGGAACAAAU
rnacentral:sRNA from 1 species